rnacentral:rRNA from 1 species
UACGGGGGGGGCAAGCGUUGUUCGGAAUUACUGGGCGUAAAGGGCUCGUAGGUGGCGACCCAAGUCGAUGGUGAAAGCUCGCCGCUCAACGGCGAGUCGGCCACCGAUACUGGGUUGCUUGAGCACUGUAGAGGCUAAUGGAAUUCCGGGUGUAGCGGUGGAAUGCGUAGAGAUCCGGAAGAACACCGGUGGCGAAGGCGGUUAGCUGGGCAGUUGCUGACACUGAGGCGCGACAGCGUGGGGAGCAAACAGG